AGGAUGAAAGUUUCAUGCAUGAGAAACAUAUUAAUUAAGUAAUAGUUAAUAGGUUCAUGUAUGUUUUAAAACAAAAAAUGUCAUUCUUUUAAGAACCUAUAACGUAAAACUUAAUGAAUAAUGAAUUUGUCAAAUACAUUUCCUUUGUAACUCAAAACUUAUGAAUAAUGAAUUUAUCAAAUUCAUUUCCUUUGUAACUCAAAACUUUAAGUGAUGCAUUUGUUUCAAAACUAAUUGAAACAUAACUCUUAAAAAUCUUUAACCGAUGUAUUUGUUUCAAAAUUUAUUGAAACAUAAAAUCAACAAAAGCUUAUGCAGCUUGACUGUUCUAUUUACAUUCUGUCUCAAUUGGCACUAAAUGCACGAACUCUUCAUCUUUGAUGCCACAUUUAUUGUCGAAUUCUCCAAAAUUACACUAUUUUUGAAUAAUUUGAUACCCACCCGAUGACUUUAGGCUAUUCUUAUGCUUCCCAAAAAAGAAAUUUUACUGCAGUAUUUGUCAAUUGACAUGCCUGAUUUUUAUCAACAUAUGAUGAAUUCACGUAGAAUUCAGCAGAAUGUGCCUGCACACAUCCAUCUAUUCUAAGAAAAACCAUAGAAAAUUCUUUAAUUUGAUUAAAAAUCUCUGUGUAAGUGAUUAGAAGGUUUUGUGGAGCGGUGAUACGUGGAUGAUAUGAAUGUUUCCUUCUGCAGUUUAACCUUAUCAAAAUUUGAGGAGGAAUCAUUCAUGAAAAAGGUUAUUAUAAAAACAUGCCCUCUGAAUAACUUUGCGAUAUCUUUACAAGGGCAUGGUAAUUGUGUAAGACACGAAAGCUCUCAGACAAUCACUUGGACAGCACACCCAUAUGGUGGUUGCUGAUCAGAAUAUUACUCAGGUCAUGAAAGAGUUCAACAGAUUUCGAUUUUUUUCACCUAUGUUUCGGGUAAUAUGAAUUUGCUAGGUUGCACCUAUUUUUAGGUAAUGAAGAUUUGCUCGGAUAGAUCUCUUAUUCCCUACUCUUCCGAGCUUUAAAGUGUAUCCUCUUUUUGUAUUGGUGCUUAAGAAGGCUUGAACAUCUUCAACAUGACGUAGCUUAAAGUAGAAACAUGACGUAGCUUAAAGUGGAAACUGACACAUUAUUUUUGUAAUAAUGCAACAAGAAAUGACUCUACUACUACAUAUUUGCUAAGAUAAUGAAGGAAGACAAUUCAGCUGUUGCACAUCUUGGUAAGGAAAGAUAAAAUCAUAGGAGAAGAUUGAAUGAGAUGGAGUUGGAUGCAGUCCCACACAGAAGUUAAGAAUCUUGUCUUUGCUAUCUGUUGAAUACUGUUAGUUUAUUUCUUUAAAUUUUUUUCAGGUCA